rnacentral:rRNA from 1 species
UGGGGAAUCUUGCACAAUGGGGGCAACCCUGAUGCAGCGACGCCGCGUGAGCGAUGAAGCCCUUCGGGGCGUAAAGCUCUUUCGACCGGAACGAUAAUGACGGUACCGGGAGAAGAAGCUGCGGCUAACUACGUGCCAGCAGCCGCGGUAAUACGUAGGCAGCAAGCGUUGUUCGGAGUUACUGGGCGUACAGAGUGCGUAGGCGGUUUUCUAAGUUCGGUGUGAAAUCUCCCGGCUUAACUGGGAGGGUGCGCCGAAGACUGGGAAGCUGUAGUGUGGGAAAGGCAGGCGGAAUUCCUGGUGUAGCGGUGAAAUGCGUAGAUAUCAGGAGGAACACCGGCGGUGUAGACGGCUUGCUAGACCAUAACUGACGCUGAGGCACGAAAGCGUGGGUAGCAAACA